UGAAAAUCCACUCGCGUCUCCACAGCAGUGAAUAUCUUGCUAUUAUUUUCGUGCGUGAAGCAUUGAUUUUUGGAUUCUUUUAUGUUGUCUUCAUCAAAGUCGACUCCUUUUGUCGGUGGCUGAAUAAGCUGUACAUAAGGAACACAAAGCCGGAGCAGCAGGAGGUACAAAGUGAAGACUAUGAAGACUCCAGCUUUACAGCAGUGAGGGGUCCGAUCAAGUUAACAGUUUUGUUAUGGGCUUCCACAAGAUUUGUCAACGUACUUACACCGCUCAAGGUUGGUCACUAUGUGAUCGGGAAAGUCCGAGCCA